rnacentral:rRNA from 1 species
UACGGGGGGGGUAAGCGUUGUUCGGAAUUACUGGGCGUAAAGGGCUCGCAGGCGGCCAACUAAGUCAGACGUGAAAUCCCUCAGCUUAACUGGGGAACUGCGUCUGAUACUGGAUGGCUUGGAUUCGGGAGAGGAAUGCGGAAUUCCAGGUGUAGCGGUGAAAUGCGUAGAUAUCUGGAGGAACACCGGUGGCGAAGGCGGCAUUCUGGACCGAUAUUGACGCUGAGGAGCGAAAGCCAGGGGAGCAAACGGG